ACAGUGGACGCGAGCAUCUGUGGCCAAGUUUUUAAGGGCGCACGGUGGAUGCCUUGGCACCAGGAACCGAUGAAGGACGUGGGAGGCCGCGAUAGUCCCCGGGGAGUCGUCAACCAGGCUUUGAUCCGGGGGUUUCCGAAUGGGGAAACCCGGCAGUCGUCAUGGGCUGUCACCCACUGCUGAACACAUAGGCAGUGUGGAGGGAACGCGGGGAAGUGAAACAUCUCAGUACCCGCAGGAAGAGAAAACAACCGUGAUUCCGGGAGUAGUGGCGAGCGAAACUGGAUGAGGCCAAACCUACGACGUGUGAGACCCGGCAGGGGUUGCGUCGUGGGGGUUGUGGGAUCUCUCUUCCACGGUCUGCCGGCCGUGGGACGAGUCAGAAACCGUUGAUGUAGGCGAAGGACAUGCGAAAGGUCCGGCGUAGAGGGUAAGACCCCCGUAGUCGAAACGUCAGCGGCUCGUUUGAGAGACACCCAAGUAGCACGGGGCCCGAGAAAUCCCGUGUGAAUCUGGCGGGACCACCCGCUAAGCCUAAAUAUUCCCUGGUGACCGAUAGCGGAUAGUACCGUGAGGGAAUGGUGAAAAGUACCCCGGGAGGGGAGUGAAAUAGUACCUGAAACCGUGUGCCUACAAGCCGUGGGAGCGUCGGAAUGAAGCUUGCUCUGUUGUGGGGGAUAAGCUCCAUGGUCGAGAGGGAAACAGCCCAGAGCAUCGACUAAGGCCCCUAAGCGUACGCUAAGUGGGAAAGGAUGUGGAGUCGCAGAGACAACCAGGAGGUUGGCUUAGAAGCAGCCACCCUUGAAAGAGUGCGUAAUAGCUCACUGGUCUAGUGAUUCCGCGCCGACAAUGUAGCGGGGCUCAAGCGUACCGCCGAAGUCGUGUCAUUCAUACAUAUAGCCCCAACGGGUGUAUGGAUGGGUAGGGGAGCGUCGUCUGCCGGGUGAAGCGGCACUGGAAGGUAGUCGUGGACGGUUGACGAGUGAGAAUGCAGGCAUGAGUAGCGAUACAAACGUGAGAAACGUUUGCGCCGAUUGACUAAGGGUUCCUGGGUCAAGCUGAUCUGCCCAGGGUAAGUCGGGACCUAAGGCGAGGCCGACAGGCGUAGUCGAUGGAUAACCGGUUGAUAUUCCGGUACCCGCUGUGAAGCGCCAAACAUCGAAUCCAGUGAUGCUAAGCCCGUGAAACCGCCCGCUGCCGGCUUUGCCGUCAGUGGGAGUGGUGGAGCCGGUGACCCGAGCUGGUAGUAGGUGAGUGAUGGGGUGACGCAGGAAGGUAGUCCAUCCCGGGCGGUGGUUGUCCCGGGGUAAGGGUGUAGGACGGUGUGUAGGUAAAUCCGCACGCCAUGUGUCUGAGACCUGAUGCCGAGCCGAUUGUGGUGAAGUGGAUGAUCCUAUGCUGUCGAGAAAAGCCUCUAGCGAGUUUCAUGGCGGCCCGUACCCUAAACCGACUCAGGUGGUCAGGUAGAGAAUACCGAGGCGUUCGGGUGAACUAUGGUUAAGGAACUCGGCAAAAUGCCCCCGUAACUUCGGGAGAAGGGGGGCCACAUCCGGUGAUGAGCUUCGCGCUCUGAGCUGGGGGUGGCCGCAGAGACCAGCGAGAAGCGACUGUUUACUAAAAACACAGGUCCGUGCGAAGCCGUAAGGCGAUGUAUACGGACUGACGCCUGCCCGGUGCUGGAACGUUAAGGGGACCGGUUAGCUCACUUUCGGGUGGGCGAAGCUGAGAACUUAAGCGCCAGUAAACGGCGGUGGUAACUAUAACCAUCCUAAGGUAGCGAAAUUCCUUGUCGGGUAAGUUCCGACCUGCACGAAUGGCGUAACGACUUCUCGACUGUCUCAACCAUAGGCCCGGUGAAAUUGCACUACGAGUAAAGAUGCUCGUUUCGCGCAGCAGGACGGAAAGACCCCGGGACCUUUACUACAGUUUGAUAUUGGUGUUCGGUUCGGCUUGUGUAGGAUAGCUGGGAGACUGUGAAGCAGGCACGCCAGUGUUUGUGGAGUCGUCGUUGAAAUACCAGUCUGGUCGUGCUGGAUGUCUAACCUGGGUCCGUGAUCCGGAUCAGGGACAGUGUCUGAUGGGUAGUUUAACUGGGGCGGUUGCCUCCUAAAGGGUAACGGAGGCGCCCAAAGGUUCCCUCAGCCUGGUUGGCAAUCAGGUGUUGAGUGUAAGUGCACAAGGGAGCUUGACUGUGAGACCGACGGGUCGAGCAGGGACGAAAGUCGGGACUAGUGAUCCGGCGGUGGCUUGUGGAAGCGCCGUCGCUCAACGGAUAAAAGGUACCCCGGGGAUAACAGGCUGAUCUUCCCCAAGAGUCCAUAUCGACGGGAUGGUUUGGCACCUCGAUGUCGGCUCGUCGCAUCCUGGGGCUGGAGUCGGUCCCAAGGGUUGGGCUGUUCGCCCAUUAAAGCGGUACGCGAGCUGGGUUUAGAACGUCGUGAGACAGUUCGGUCCCUAUCCGCUGUGCGCGUAGGAGUCUUGAGAAGGGCUGUCCCUAGUACGAGAGGACCGGGACGGACGAACCUCUGGUGUGCCAGUUGUUCUGCCAAGGGCAUGGCUGGUUGGCUACGUUCGGGAGGGAUAACCGCUGAAAGCAUCUAAGCGGGAAGCCUGCUUCGAGAUGAGGACUCCCACCCACUUGAUGGGGUAAGGCUCCCAGUAGACGACUGGGUUGAUAGGCCGGAUCUGGAAGCACGGUAACGUGUGGAGGUGACCGGUACUAAUAGGCCGAGGGCUUGUCCUCAGUUG
rnacentral:rRNA from 1 species